GGAGGGUAUUGCCGGUGGGUACUGGACGCUGUCCGUCAAACAGUCGAGUGGCCGUCAGCCAUUAGGGUUCGAGUCCCUUACCCUCCG
rnacentral:tRNA from 1 species